GCGGGAGUGCCGGAGUGGUCAAACGGGCCAGGCUUAGGACCUGGUAGCUUAGUGCUUGCGAAGGUUCAAAUCCUUUCUCCCGCA
rnacentral:tRNA from 1 species